rnacentral:tRNA from 1 species
GGGAGUGUAGUGUAACGGUAGCACGCUGGAUUCCAGUCCCAGUUGUCAGGGUUCAAAUCCUUGCACUCCUG